UACGUAGGGUGCGAGCGUUAAUCGGAAUUACUGGGCGUAAAGCGUGUGCAGGCGGGAUGGUAAGUGGGGUAUGAAAUCUCCCAGCUUAACUGGGAGGGGUUAUGCCAGACUGCCAUUCUAGAGUGCGAGAGAGGAAUGUGGAAUUCCGGGUGUAGUGGUGAAAUGCGUAGAUAUCGGGAGGAACACCAGUGGCGAAGGCGAGUCUCUGGGAUGAUGCUGACGCUGAUGCGCGAAAGCCAGGGGAGCAAACGGG
rnacentral:rRNA from 1 species